AUGAACGCUGGCGGCGUGCCUAACACAUGCAAGUCGAGCGAGAUGUAUAUGGACGAAACUUCGGUCUAGGAAAUAUAUUGACAGCGGCGGACGGGUGAGUAACGCGUAGGCAACCUGCCCUUAACACAGGGAUAGCCUCGGGAAACCGGGAUUAAAACCUGAUAAUGCCAAAUAGUCACAUGGCUGUUUGGCCAAAGAUUUAUCGGUUAAGGAUGGGCCUGCGUCUGAUUAGUUUGUUGGUGGGGUAACGGCCUACCAAGACUACGAUCAGUAGCCGACCUGAGAGGGUGAUCGGCCACAUUGGAACUGAGACACGGUCCAAACUCCUACGGGAGGCAGCAGUGGGGAAUAUUGCACAAUGGGCGAAAGCCUGAUGCAGCAACGCCGCGUGAGCGAUGAAGGCCUUUGGGUCGUAAAGCUCUGUCCUUGGGGAAGAAAAAAAUGACGGUACCCAAGGAGGAAGCCCCGGCUAACUACGU
rnacentral:rRNA from 1 species